rnacentral:ncRNA from 1 species
AAGUGGGAAACGAAGUGGGAAGGCUUAGACAGCUAGGAUGUUGGCUUAGAAGCAGCCAUCAUUUAAAGAAAGCGUAAUAGCUCACUAGUCGAGUCGGCCUGCGCGGAAGAUGUAACGGGGCUAAAAUUAGUCACCGAAGCUGCGGCAUCAGGCGUAUCACUAAUACGCCUUACGGCUAACAACUUGCGAAGCAAGUUGGUCAAGCCCAAAAAACGUUGAGACGGACUGCGAAAGCGGAAAGUAAAGCGAAGUGAGGAAUAUUAGUGAUACGCCUGUUGGGUAGGGGAGCGUCGUGUAAGCGGAUGAAGGUGUACUGAGAAGUAUGCUGGACGUAUCACGAGUGCGAAUGCUGACAUAAGUAACGAUAAAACGAGUGAAAAACUCGUUCGCCGGAAGACC